UGGGGAAUUUUGGACAAUGGGCGAAAGCCUGAUCCAGCAAUGCCGCGUGUGUGAAGAAGGCCUUCGGGUUGUAAAGCACUUUUGUCCGGAAAGAAAUCCUUGGCUCUAAUACAGUCGGGGGAUGACGGUACCGGAAGAAUAAGCACCGGCUAACUACGUGCCAGCAGCCGCGGUAAUACGUAGGGUGCAAGCGUUAAUCGGAAUUACUGGGCGUAAAGCGUGCGCAGGCGGUUUGCUAAGACCGAUGUGAAAUCCCCGGGCUCAACCUGGGAACUGCAUUGGUGACUGGCAGGCUAGAGUAUGGCAGAGGGGGGUAGAAUUCCACGUGUAGCAGUGAAAGUGCGUAGAGAUGUGGAGGAAUACCGAUGGCGAAGGCAGCCCCCUGGGCCAAUACUGACGCUCAUGCACGAAAGCGUGGGGAGCAACAGGAUUAGAUACCCUGGUAGUCCA
rnacentral:rRNA from 1 species